UUAGAGUUUGAUCCUGGCUCAGGAUGAACGCUAGCUACAGGCUUAACACAUGCAAGUCGAGGGGAAACGAUAGAGAAAGCUUGCUUUUUCUAGGCGUCGACCGGCGCACGGGUGAGUAACGCGUAUCCAACCUGCCUAUCACUUGGGGAUAACUUUGCGAAAGUAAGACUAAUACCCAAUGACGUCUCUAGAAGACAUCUGAAGGAGAUUAAAGAUUUAUCGGUGAUGGAUGGGGAUGCGUCUGAUUAGCUUGUUGGCGGGGUAACGGCCCACCAAGGCGACGAUCAGUAGGGGUUCUGAGAGGAAGGUCCCCCACAUUGGAACUGAGACACGGUCCAAACUCCUACGGGAGGCAGCAGUGAGGAAUAUUGGUCAAUGGACGAGAGUCUGAACCAGCCAAGUAGCGUGCAGGAUGACGGCCCUAUGGGUUGUAAACUGCUUUUAUAAGGGAAUAAAGUGAGUCUCGUGAGACUUUUUGCAUGUACCUUAUGAAUAAGGACCGGCUAAUUCCGUGCCAGCAGCCGCGGUAAUACGGAAGGUCCGGGCGUUAUCCGGAUUUAUUGGGUUUAAAGGGAGCGUAGGCCGGAGAUUAAGCGUGUUGUGAAAUGUAGACGCUCAACGUCUGCACUGCAGCGCGAACUGGUUUCCUUGAGUACGCACAAAGUGGGCGGAAUUCGUGGUGUAGCGGUGAAAUGCUUAGAUAUCACGAAGAACUCCGAUUGCGAAGGCAGCUCACUGGAGCGCAACUGACGCUGAAGCUCGAAAGUGCGGGUAUCGAACAGGAUUAGAUACCCUGGUAGUCCGCACGGUAAACGAUGGAUGCCCGCUGUUGGUCUGAAUAGGUCAGCGGCCAAGCGAAAGCAUUAAGCAUCCCACCUGGGGAGUACGCCGGCAACGGUGAA
rnacentral:rRNA from 1 species